AACGGUAACAGCUCAAAUUUGAAAUCUGGCUCUUGCGGAGUCCGAGUUGUAAUUUGUAGAAGAUGCUUUGGGUUGUGGGUUCGGCCUAAGUUCCUUGGAACAGGACGUCAUAGAGGGUGAGAAUCCCGUAUGUGGCCGAGGCCCGCGCCUAUGUAAAGCUCUUUCAACGAGUCGAGUUGUUUGGGAAUGCAGCUCAAAAUGGGUGGUAAAUUUCAUCUAAAGCUAAAUAUGGGCCAGAGACCGAUAGCGCACAAGUAGAGUGAUCGAAAGAUGAAAAGCACUUUGGAAAGAGAGUUAAACAGUACGUGAAAUUGUUGAAAGGGAAGCGCUUGCAACCAGACUUGGGCGCUGCCGAUCACCUUGAGUUUUCUCGAGUGCACUCGACAGCGCACAGGCCAGCAUCGGUUCGGGUGGCUGGAUAAAGGCCGUAGGAAUGUGGCUCUCUUCGGGGAGUGUUAUAGCCUACGGUGCCAUGCAGCCCAGCCGGACCGAGGACCGCGCCUUCGGGCUAGGAUGCUGGCGUAAUGGUUGUAAGCGACCCGUCUUGAAACACGGACCAAGGAGUCUAACAUCUAUGCGAGUGUUUGGGUGGUAAACCCAUACGCGGAAUGAAAGUGAACGUAGGUGAGAACCCCUUUGGGGCGCAUCAUCGACCGAUCCUGAUGUCUUCGGAUGGAUUUGAGUAAGAGCUA
rnacentral:rRNA from 1 species